rnacentral:rRNA from 1 species
UACAGAGGAUGCAAGCGUUAUCCGGAAUGAUUGGGCGUAAAGCGUCUGUAGGUGGCUUUUUAAGUCCGCCGUCAAAUCCCAGGGCUCAACUCUGGACAGGCGGUGGAAACUACCAAGCUGGAGUACGGUAGGGGCAGAGGGAAUUUCCGGUGGAGCGGUGAAAUGCGUAGAUAUCUGGAGGAACACCGGUGGCGAAGGCGGCAUCCUGGACCGAGAUUGACGCUGAGGCGCGAAAGCCAGGGGAGCAAACGGG